GGGCUUGGUAGCAAUACUGAGUUCAGUGGCGGACGGGUGCGUAACACGUGAACAAUCUGCCCGGAAGAGGGGGAUAGCCCAGGGAAACUUGGAUUAAUACCCCGUGUGGUACAGGUGGGCAUCCAUCUGACACCAAAGGUGCUGCAAGGUGCCGCUUCCGGAUGAGUUCGCGCCCUAUUAGCUUGUUGGCGGGGUAACGGCCCACCAAGGCGAUGACGGGUAGCUGGUCUGAGAGGAUGACCAGCCACACUGGAACUGAGACACGGUCCAGACACCUACGGGUGGCAGCAGUCGAGAAUCAUUCACAAUGGGCGAAAGCCUGAUGGUGUGACGCCGCGUGGAGGAUGAAGGUCUUCGGAUUGUAAACUCCUGUCAAGUGAGAGUAAAGCCGGGCGUCAACUGCGAGCCGGUUUGAGAGUAUCACUAGAGGAAGAGACGGCUAACUCUGUGCCAGCAGCCGCGGUAAUACAGAGGUCUCAAGCGUUGUUCGGAAUCACUGGGCGUAAAGGGUGCGUAGGCUGCACGGUAAGUCAGAUGUGAAAGCCCGGAGCUCAACUUCGGAAUUGCAUCCGAUACUGCCGUGCUUGAGGACUGGAGAGGAGAUUGGAAUUCACAGUGGAGCAGUGAAAUGCGUAGGUAUUGUGAGGAACACUAGUGGCGAAGGCGAAUCUCUGGACAGUUCCUGACGCUGAGGCACGAAGGCCAGGGGAGCAAACGGGAUUAGAUACCCCGGUAGUCCUGGCAGUAAACGGUGCACGCUUGGUGUGGCAGGAAUCGACCCCUGCCGUGCCGGAGCUAACGCGUUAAGCGUGCCGCCUGGGAAGUACGGUCGCAAGAUUAA
rnacentral:rRNA from 1 species